AGAGUUUGAUCAUGGCUCAGGAUGAACGCUAGCUACAGGCUUAACACAUGCAAGUCGAGGGGAAACGACAUCGAAAGCUUGCUUUUGAUGGGCGUCGACCGGCGCACGGGUGAGUAACGCGUAUCCAACCUGCCCAUCACUUGGGGAUAACCUUGCGAAAGUAAGACUAAUACCCAAUGAUAUCUCUAGAAGGCAUCUGAAAGAGAUUAAAGAUUUAUCGGUGAUGGAUGGGGAUGCGUCUGAUUAGCUUGUUGGCGGGGUAACGCCACAAGCAACGAUCAGUAGGGGUUCUGAGAGGAACGGUCCCCCANAUUGGAACUGAGACACGGUCCAAACGUCCGUACGGGAGGCA
rnacentral:rRNA from 1 species